CAAAAACGGAAAGGAAUUUCCGCUCCGGAUCAGCGGAGUGCAAACAAACAGUAGAGAGGCACUGCACGGGAAGGAAGGAGGAGCGCGAGUGUAUUUGGGUCAGAAAACUCUCGGAUUUCAUCCAAAAAAUCUUAAUUUGUGUUCCGAUGACGAACAAAGGUCUUACGGGUUUGGAACAACAUGAUGCAGGACAAUAAAUGGGUUUGCCUUAGGCUAUGAGCAGGGACACAUUAAAGGACACUCCUGGGAAUCUAAUAGAGGUUUCAAGGCUGGGCUGGUUUUAGUGGAUCAAAACAGGAAGCAGAGACAUGAGGGUCUCUCUAGAGAACCGCAGUAAACAAACAGCCCCGGUGGGCCCUCCACCAGCAGCCCUACAAACAGGAAGCGCUGAUGAGAAAUUGUUCAGAUGAAACCGAGAUGCAAUGUUUUGAAGUCGUCAACAAGCCAUUAAGCCACUGGACAGAUUUCACUCUGAUUGAUUUGCCUUGCAGUACAUUAUUCAUGUGAUUUCAUGCAUACGUAUGGACAUGUAAAGAUGUCCAGGACACAUUAUCGAUCAGGAUAUAUACAUCUAUAAAACCAUUAUCACCCCAGAGGGUGUGUUGUCGGACCACCCUGGAACACAAAAGCCCAUUGUGAUGGUUCAUUUUCACCAGUGUUUUCACAAUCGUCACUUCUCUUUAACACCCUUCAAACUCCUGAACUCUUAAGUUACACUUUUAGAAAACUGCAGUUAUAUAUAGUGUUUCCUCAACUAAAGGCAAAGACCAUUUCAGCUUAGUUUUAGUCGGUUUUUGUCCAAAAACAUUGAUAAUAAUAAUGUUUCUUAAGCAGCAAAUCAGCAUAUUAGAAUGAUUUCUGAAGAAUCAUGUGAUACUGAAGACUGGAGUAAUGAUGCUGAAAAUCACAGAAAUAAAUAGCAUUUUAAAACAUAUUUAAAUAUAAAACAGUUAUUUUAAAUGGCAAAAAUAUUUCACAGUACUAUACUGUUUUUAAUGUAUUUUCGAUCAGAUAAAUGCAACAAACAACAAUAUUAGAAAAAAUAAAAUAAAUACAAAUAAACGUAUUUUAAACAUUAAAAAAUCCUAGUUCACCAAUAUAAUCAUAUAUUGUAUUAAACAAUAUUUGCCGACAUAUAUAUAUAUAUUUAAACAUACAUAAAAGAAAAUAGAAACUCAAUUUUAUUUAGAAAAAAAAAGAAAGCACAAUUUUAUUUUUUGUCCAUUAAAAUUGUCCAACAACAUGUUUAUUGGACUAAAAAUACAGGAAAAAAUAAUAAUAUUGUAAAAUAUUAUUACAAUUUAAAGUAAAUGUUUUCUAUUUUGGUCUAUUUUACAGCGUAAUUUAUUCCUGUGAUGCAAAGCUGAAUUUUUAGCAGCUGUUACUGCAGUCUUCAGUGUCACAUGUCAAAUAUUUUUGUGGAAAUAUAUUUUUAUAUUUUUUCCUCAAAAUAGUUUAAUAAACAGAAAGUUCAAAAGAACAGCAUUUAUUUGAA